GACAACAGGUUGAUAUUCCUGUACCACCUCCUCACCAUUUGAGCAAUGGGGGGACGCAGGAGGAUAGGGUAAGCGCGGUAUUGGAUAUCCGCGUCCAAGCAGUUAGGCUGGGAAAUAGGCAAAUCCGUUUCCCAUAAGGCUGAGCUGUGAUGGCGAGCGAAAUAUAGUAGCGAAGUUCCUGAUUCCACACUGCCAAGAAAAGCCUCUAGCGAGGUGAGAGGUGCCCGUACCGCAAACCGACACAGGUAGGCGAGGAGAGAAUCCUAAGGUGAUCGAGAGAACUCUCGUUAAGGAACUCGGCAAAAUGACCCCGUAACUUCGGGAGAAGGGGUGCUCUGUUAGGGUGCAAGCCCGAGAGAGCCGCAGUGAAUAGGCCCAGGCGACUGUUUAGCAAAAACACAGGUCUCUGCGAAGCCGUAAGGCGAAGUAUAGGGGCUGACGCCUGCCCGGUGCUGGAAGGUUAAGAGGAGCGCUUAGCGUAAGCGAAGGUGCGAAUUGAAGCCCCAGUAAACGGCGGCCGUAACAAUAACGGUCCUAAGGUAGCGAAAUUCCUUGUCGGGUAAGUUCCGACCCGCACGAAAGGCGCAACGAUCUGGGCACUGUCUCAACGAGAGACUCGGUGAAAUUAUAGUACCUGUGAAGAUGCAGGUUACCCGCGACAGGACGGAAAGACCCCGUGGAGCUUUACUGCAGCCUGAUAUUGAAUGUUGGUACAGCUUGUACAGGAUAGGUAGGAGCCUUGGAAACCGAAGCGCCAGCUUCGGUGGAGGCAUCGGUGGGAUACUACCCUGGCUGUAUUGACCUUCUAACCCGCCGCCCUUAUCGGGCGGGGAGACAGUGUCAGGUGGGCAGUUUGACUGGGGCGGUCGCCUCCUAAAAGGUAACGGAGGCGCCCAAAGGUUCCCUCAGAAUGGUUGGAAAUCAUUCGCAGAGUGUAAAGGCACAAGGGAGCUUGACUGCGAGACCUACAAGUCGAGCAGGGACGAAAGUCGGGCUUAGUGAUCCGGUGGUUCCGCAUGGAAGGGCCAUCGCUCAACGGAUAAAAGCUACCCCGGGGAUAACAGGCUUAUCUCCCCCAAGAGUCCACAUCGACGGGGAGGUUUGGCACCUCGAUGUCGGCGCAUCGCAUCCUGGGGCUGUAGUCGGUCCCAAGGGUUGGGCUGUUCGCCCAUUAAAGCGGUACGCGAGCUGGGUUCAGAACGUCGUGAGACAGUUCGGUCCCUAUCCGUCGCGGGCGCAGGAAAUUUGAGAGGAGCUGUCCUUAGUACGAGAGGACCGGGAUGGACGCACCGCUGGUGUACCAGUUGUUCUGCCAAGGGCAUCGCUGGGUAGCUAUGUGCGGACGGGAUAAGUGCUGAAAGCAUCUAAGCAUGAAGCCCCCCUCAAGAUGAGAUUUCCCAUUCCGCAAGGAAGUAAGAUCCCUGAAAGAUGAUCAGGUUGAUAGGUCUGAGGUGGAAGUGUGGCGACACAUGGAGCUGACAGAUACUAAUCGAUCGAGGACUUAACC
rnacentral:rRNA from 1 species